UUAGCCUCAGACAGAGGGCAAGACAAAGGAGCCAUUCUUUAGUGCAGAUCGCAAGCCUACACAAAAGCAGUUAGAUAAGCAUCUCUGCCUCCCUCCUCCUUGAGGCUGAGGCAAUAAUUUAGCACGCGUGCCCCCUGCAGAGCUGGCAUUGUCUGCUGCUUCUCUGCUCACCCUGCUGUGGGGAUUCUUGGUUUCUUGCACAUACGCGCAUUAUUUGUCCCAGCUGCAAGGUGCCUCCUUUCCAGCCAUCGUUCACUCUGUUGCUUGGCAAGCUGCUUCUCUUUUCUCCUCUGCUGCAGCUUUUGCCACUCGUGCCCAGGAGGAUCUGGAGCCCACAGUGGGAAGGUGCUACUCCACCAAGGCAGGAGCUCUGGCUGUCUCCCUUACCUCCUGCAGAGGGGCACUCUGACAAAAUGGCUAACUGGCAUGGAAGACUGUUUGAAGCAAAGAUGUGUAACUGAAUGCCUCCACGCGGAAAAGAUUGCACCCACUGACAUUCAUCAAUGUUUGCUGAAUGUUGAUGGAGACCAAAGAGUGGAUGUGUGCACAGUGAAGAGCUCUGCCUGGUGGAACAGCAAGAUAUCUACCUCUUGGGAAGGUGCAGACCUGAAGGCAUUCCACGUUUGGUCUAUGGAGGGAGUCAUCAGAAAAUAGGCUGAUGGGGAAGAUGAUAAUGGAAGUUGGUUGCUACAAAACCCAGCAAUUGCAGGUGUGAUGCUAAACAGGUUACAGCUGUGCUCGGGAGCAGUUUGCACCACCUGGCUUGGAAGCACUCCAAGAUGCCUCAAUAUUAGGAGAAGGAGCUGCUUCUAUCUCCAGACUUCAGAGUGGGCUGGUAAAAAACAUUUAUCAGACUUCAGGAGGUAUGUCUAUACAUAAACAUUAUGUAUAUAUAUACAAGUGGUAGCCCCUUGUGGUGAGGAUCUCAUCAUCACAAAAACAACACUGCAAUUCUGUUGAUGGGAUGCAGAUUGUCAUUAACAGAAUUCAGAACUAGAAAGAAUAUGAAUAAAUGAUUUUAGGGAAAUUCACUGAAUUAGGCAAUUUGAGUUUGUGUCACUCAUUGUACCUCAUGUUCUUGACAGAGGUCUGACCUAAAGAAAGUAAAAGUUUGCUUUGAGGGUAGCAGGCCUGGGUGGGCAGAUUUAACAAAUUGAUAUUUGUUUUGCUGUGAGCGAUUUUGAGACUUGUAUUUUGAAAAUGAACUUAAGAGCAAAACUCCUCUGACAUCAGUAGCUUUCAGGCUGGAUGUUAUGGUGAGAAUGAUAAGAAUUAAAUCUACUUAAUGCCAUGCCUUUCUAAGUAAACUUAUGAUUGAUAUUAAUAUAAUUAAAUUUGGAAUACUGCAAAGGGAAAACCAUCCAUAAGAAAAAAUAAAUAAGUGGCUACAUUAGUCUUCUAGUAAUGGUCUCCAGAAAAGCAGAAAUUUGAAUUCUUAGAACAGAUUUUCACUGUAAAUACUAAAUGGCCCAUUCAAUAUGUAACUUCUCAGCACAGGAAUUGCAUUAGUUCUGUCUUUUAUACCUGAAAUGUUCUAAAGGUUAGUUAGUUGGUAACAGUUAGUUGAAAUUCUGUUAUUUUUCUAACAUAUAUGAGGAGUUUAACAACAUUAACAAUCCAGCUAUGGAAGAUGUUACUUGAUGCUUUCUUAUUGUGGAUGAUUCUUCAACCCAAUUUCCAAAAGAAUUAGUAAGUAUAUUUCUAGGAUGCGAAUUUAUAUAGUGAAAGAGAUAUUUACAUUCCUAGCACUUACGCAUUUUAUAUUCAGUGUCAAAGUAGAGCAUCCAAUGGGAUGAGGUUCAACAAGACUGAGUGCCGGGUCUUGCACUUUGGCCGCAACAACCCCAGGAAACGCUACAGGCUUGGGGCAGAGUGGCUGGAAGGUUGUGUGGAGGAAAUGGA